rnacentral:misc_RNA from 1 species
GAUGAAGAACGCAGUGAAAUGCGAUAAGUAAUGUGAAUUGCAGAAUUCAGUGAAUCAUCGAAUCUUUGAACGCACAUUGCGCCCGCCAGCAUUCUGGCGGGCAUGCCUGUUCGAGCGUCAUUUCAACCCUCGAGCCCCCCCGGGGGCCUCGGUGUUGGGGGACGGCACACCAGCCGCCCCCGAAAUGCAGUGGCGACCUCGCCGCAGCCUCCACUGCGUAGUAGUACACACCUCGCACCGGAGCGCGGAGACGGUCACGCCGUAAAACGCCCAACUUCUUAGAGUUGACCUCGGAUCAGGUAGGAAUACCCGCUGAACUUAAGCAUAUCAAUAAGCGGAGGA